rnacentral:rRNA from 1 species
CCUACGGGAGGCUGCAGUGAGGAAUAUUGGUCAAUGGGCGCGAGCCUGAACCAGCCAAGUCGCGUGAGGGAAGACGGUCCUAUGGAUUGUAAACCUCUUUUGUCGGGGAGCCAAAGACGCCACUCGUGGCGUUCCGAGAGUACCCGAAGAAAAAGCAUCGGCUACCUCCGUGCCAGCAGCCGCGGUAAUACGGAGGAUGCGAGCGUUAUCCGGAUUUAGUGGGUUUAAAGGGUGCGCAGGCGGAAUAUCAAGUCAGCGGUAAAAUUGAGAGGCUCAACCUCUUCGAGCCGUUGAAACUGGUUUUCUUGAGUGAGCGAGAAGUAUGCGGAAUGCGUGGUGUAGCGGUGAAAUGCAUAGAUAUCACGCAGAACUCCGAUUGCGAAGGCAGCAUACCGGCGCUCAACUGACGCUCAUGCACGAAAGUGUGGGUAUCGAACAGGAUUAGAUACCCGUGUAGUC